rnacentral:rRNA from 1 species
UACGGGGGGAGCAAGCGUUGUUCGGAUUUACUGGGCGUAAAGGGCGCGUAGGCGGUCGUGACAAGUCACUUGUGAAAUCUCCGGGCUUAACUCGGAAACGGUCAAGUGAUACUGUCGGACUAGAGUACAGAAGGGGCAACUGGAAUUCUCGGGUGUAGCGGUGAAAUGCGCAGAUAUCAGGAGGAACACCGAUGGCGAAGGCAGGUCUCUGGGCCACUACUGACGCUGAGAAGCGAAAGCAUGGGGAGCGAACAGG